rnacentral:rRNA from 1 species
AUGGAGGGUCUUCUGCAUUGGGACUUUGCCCCUGGCCUUGCCCUUGCGGAUCAGGUGAGGAGAAAAUUUGGUUCUACGGUUCAUUUCUCUCCCUCUCGGGAUGCCAAGCAAUUCUUUUUGGUGGCCACGUUUUCCUCGGCCUCCUUCCCUCUCACGGUUGAUUCUGUUGGGGUUGCACUCCAAUGUUGUCUUGGC